CCCACUACUUUAAAAACUAAAGGAACCUCAAAAACCAAUUUCCUUCUAGUUUCAAUAGAAAGUGGAAGUACCCCCUCUUAUGUACCUACUCUAGUAGCACAUGAGAUGAAAUGGAGGACUCUUUAGAGGUUUCCUAUCACUGUGACUUCAGCGACAGGGCACGAGCUACACGGUGACCAGGAAAUUAAUUAAAGAUCAUCAGCAGAUUGUGUUGACUGCCACCAAGGAAGAAGGUUCACUAAAGCGGCUGACGGGCAAUCAGACAAACAAGAUUUUCAAGAAGAAAUUGGUCAGAUAUGAUAAAGCUUAGAUUUGGGAGAAUGACCCUUUCCAAAUUAAAUUUUAUGUUGCAACAACUUCAUAUUGCCUUAUUAUUAUUAUAUAUUCAAAUCCUCAAACAGAG